rnacentral:rRNA from 1 species
GGGGUUCUGAAUUGCUUAUUGCACCACAUGUGUUUUUCUUUGAAACAAACUUGCUUUGGCGGUGGGCCCAGCCUGCCGCCAGAGGUCUAAACUUACAACCAAUUUUUUAUCAACUUGUCACACCAGAUUAUUACUAAUAGUCAAAACUUUCAACAACGGAUCUCUUGGUUCUCGCAUCGAUGAAGAACGCAGCGAAAUGCGAUACGUAAUAUGAAUUGCAGAUAUUCGUGAAUCAUCGAAUCUUUGAACGCACAUUGCGCCCUCUGGUAUUCCGGAGGGCAUGCCUGUUUGAGCGUCGUUUCUCCCUCAAACCGCUGGGUUUGGUGUUGAGCAAUACGACUUGGGUUUGCUUGAAAGACGGUAGUGGUAAGGCGGGAUCGCUUUGACAAUGGCUUAGGUCUAACCAAAAACAUUGCUUGCGGCGGUAACGUCCACCACGUAUAUCUUCAAACUUUGACCUCAAAUCAGGUAGGACUACCCGCUGAACUUAAGCAUAUCAAAAGCCGGAGGAA